GGCCACAGCCAUAUCACCCUGAUGCCCAAAAUUAGUUGCCCACUGAAGCUAAGCAGGGUUGAGCCUGGUCAGUUCCUGGAUGGGAGACCUCUUGGGAAAACUAGGUUGCUGUUUGUA
ensembl:rRNA 5S_rRNA 5S ribosomal RNA